rnacentral:rRNA from 1 species
AACGAACGCUGGCGGCAUGCCUAACACAUGCAAGUCGAACGAGACCUUCGGGUCUAGUGGCGCACGGGUGCGUAACGCGUGGGAACCUGCCCUUAGGUUCGGAAUAACUCAGAGAAAUUUGAGCUAAUACCGGAUAAUGUCUUCGGACCAAAGAUUUAUCGCCUUUGGAUGGGCCCGCGUAGGAUUAGCUUGUUGGUGGGGUAAUGGCCUACCAAGGCGACGAUCCUUAGCUGGUCUGAGAGGAUGAUCAGCCACACUGGGACUGAGACACGGCCCAGACUCCUACGGGAGGCAGCAGUGGGGAAUAUUGGACAAUGGGCGAAAGCCUGAUCCAGCAAUGCCGCGUGAGUGAUGAAGGCCUUAGGGUUGUAAAGCUCUUUUAUCAGGGAUGAUAAUGACAGUACCUGGAGAAUAAGCUCCGGCUAACUCCGUG